rnacentral:rRNA from 1 species
AUACGGAGGGUGCAAGCAUUAAUCGGAAUUACUGGGCGUAAAGGGCGCGUAGGCGGAUAAGCAAGUCAGAUGUGAAAUUCCGGAGCUCAACUUCGGAGCUGCAUUUGAAACUACUUGUCUAGAGGGUUGACGGAGAAAACGGAAUUCCGCGUGUAGCGGUGAAAUGCGUGGAUAUGCGGAAGAACACCGGUGGCGAAGGCGGUUUUCUAGUUAACACCUGACGCUGAGGCGCGAAAGCAAGGGGAGCAAACAGGAUUAGAUACCCUGGUAGUCCUUGCCGUAAACGAUGUAUACUUGAUGUAGUUGGGCUCAACCCCAACUGUGUCGUAGCUAACGUGAUAAGUAUACCGCCUGAGGAGUACGCUCGCAAGGGUAAAACUCAAAAGAAUUGACGGGGCCCGCACAAGCAGUGGAGCAUGUGGUUUAAUUCGAUGCAACGCGCAGAACCUUACCCAGGCUAGAAGUGCAGUGGACAGCUUUAGAAU